ACCCUAAUUUCGCAUUAGUGUUAUUUUAGUAUUAUUAUAUUUAAUUAAAUUAAGUAGCAUAUUUAUUAGUUGAGCUAGUGAGCUUGGGGGAGGUGUAGCCCAUUAAUGUGGGGUUAAGGUAGUAGGCCCAAUAGUUGAGGGAUAUAAUUGGAAUUUGGCCUAAGUAGUAAACCUAGGUAUAAAGAUGUAACUUUAAGAGAGAUAAAUCAUAAUUUGAAGAAAAGAAAAGAGGUAGAGAGAGAACCGUAAAGAGGAAAGGAGGAAGAACAAGAACAAGAGGAGAGGAAACACCAAGCUUCUUCACCAAUCUUUCUCCAAUUUUGAUAAGGUUUUCCAGGUUGUUGAGUCUCGUGCUCAAGUUUUUGAUGAAGCUCCGCUCUGAUUGUGACACGGGGAAGAAUUCAUAGAGUCAUUUACUCUGUCAUUUUAUUUUUAAUUUAAAAUGUUUCUUUUUAGAAAAGAAAAAUAUUUUUAAUAGUGAUACUUAUGCUAAUUUAUUUUCAUCAGCCAUGUAUGAAGAAAAAUGUAAUACCUUAAACCAAUAUUUUUAUAAGUUAUUUUGACUUCAAGCCUAUUUAUUAUUUAUAACCGCUGCAUAAAUUUGAAAAGCA